rnacentral:rRNA from 1 species
UGGCUCAGAUUGAACGCUGGCGGCAGGCCUAACACAUGCAAGUCGAACGGUAACAGGAAGAAGCUUGCUUCUUUGCUGACGAGUGGCGGACGGGUGAGUAAUGUCUGGGAAACUGCCUGAUGGAGGGGGAUAACUACUGGAAACGGUAGCUAAUACCGCAUAACGUCGCAAGACCAAAGAGGGGGACCUUCGGGCCUCUUGCCAUCGGAUGUGCCCAGAUGGGAUUAGCUAGUAGGUGGGGUAACGGCUCACCUAGGCGACGAUCCCUAGCUGGUCUGAGAGGAUGACCAGCCACACUGGAACUGAGACACGGUCCAGACUCCUACGGGAGGC